AACGUAGGGGGCGAGCGUUUAUCCGGAGUUACUGGGCGUACAGGGAGCGUAGGCGGUUGGGUAAGCCCUCCGUGAAAUCUCCGGGCCUAACCCGGAAAGUGCGGAGGGGACUGCUCGGCUAGAGGAUGGGAGAGGAGCGCGGAAUUCCCGGUGUAGCGGUGAAAUGCGUAGAGAUCGGGAGGAAGGCCGGUGGCGAAGGCGGCGCUCUGGAACAUUUCUGACGCUGAGGCUCGAAAGCGUGGGGAGCGAACAGG
rnacentral:rRNA from 1 species